AGAGCGAACGCUGGCGGCAUGCUUAACACAUGCAAGUCGCGCGAUCGUGGGGCGACCUGCGGGAGCGGCGGACGGGUGAGUAACGCGUAGGUAUCUAUCCAGGGGUGGGGGACAACCGUGGGAAACUACGGCUAAUACCGCAUGAUGACCGAGGUCCAAAGCUCGCGAGAGCGCCUGGGGAGGAGCCUGCGUACGAUUAGCUAGUUGGUGGGGUAAAGGCCUACCAAGGCGACGAUCGUUAGCUGGUCUGAGAGGAUGAUCAGCCACAUUGGGACUGAGACACGGCCCAAACUCCUACGGGAGGCAGCAGUGGGGAAUAUUGGACAAUGGGCGCAAGCCUGAUCCAGCAAUGCCGCGUGUGUGAAGAAGGUCUUCGGAUUGUAAAGCACUUUCGGCGGGGACGAUGAUGACGGUACCCGCAGAAGAAGCCCCGGCUAACUUCGUGCCAGCAGCCGCGGUAAUACGAAGGGGGCUAGCGUUGCUCGGAAUGACUGGGCGUAAAGGGCGCGUAGGCGGUUUGUACAGUCAGGCGUGAAAUUCCUGGGCUCAACCUGGGGGCUGCGUUUGAUACGUAUGGACUGGAGUUCGGAAGAGGGUCGUGGAAUUCCCAGUGUAGAGGUGAAAUUCGUAGAUAUUGNGAAGAACACCGGUGGCGAAGGCGGCGACCUGGUCCGAUACUGACGCUGAGGCGCGAAAGCGUGGGGAGCAAACAGGAUUAGAUACCCUGGUAGUCCACGCUGUAAACGAUGUGUGCUGGAUGUUGGGCGACCUAGUCGCUCAGUGUCGUAGCUAACGCGAUAAGCACACCGCCUGGGGAGUACGGUCGCAAGGCUGA
rnacentral:rRNA from 1 species